GCAUAAAAGUUGGACAGAUUUCUUAAAGUGAGUUUUAAAGGAAGCGCGAGAAGGAUAGUUGUUUUGUUCGCGGAAAGUGUUUAGGAAAAGCAACAUAGUUUGAGUACGAGUGUACAUACGGAAACGAUUAAAACGGAAAAGUAAAAACACUACAACACUACAAAUAGCGGAAUUGGUGGUUCAAGUUGAACGACGAACGACAGGAAAAGAAGUUCACAUAAAGGCAGAUAGAAAACAAUAAUGUGAGUAGAAAGCAAGAAAAACAUUAAGACAAAAAUAAUACUAA